rnacentral:rRNA from 1 species
UACGUAGGGGGCAAGCGUUGUCCGGAUUCAUUGGGCGUAAAGAGCGUGUAGGCGGCCAGGUAGGUCGGUUGUGAAAACUGGAGGCUCAACCUUCAGAGGUCGACCGAAACCAUCUGGCUAGAGUCCGGGAGAGGAGAGUGGAAUUCCUGGUGUAGCGGUGAAAUGCGCAGAUAUCGGGAGGAACACCUGUGGCGAAAGCGGCGCACUGGACCAUAACUGACGCUGAGGCGCGAAAGCUAGGGGAGCAAACAGG